rnacentral:rRNA from 1 species
AAUAGAUACCCCGGUAGUCCACGCCGUAAACGAUGAGUGCUAAGUGUUAGAGGGUUUCCGCCCUUUAGUGCUGCAGCUAACGCAUUAAGCACUCCGCCUGGGGAGUACGGCCGCAAGGCUGAAACUCAAAGGAAUUGACGGGGGCCCGCACAAGCGGUGGAGCAUGUGGUUUAAUUCGAAGCAGCGCGAAGAACCUUACCAGGUCUUGACAUCCUCUUGACCUCCCUAGAGAUAGGGAUUUCCCUUCGGGGACAAGAGUGACAGGUGGUGCAUGGUUGUCGUCAGCUCGUGUCGUGAGAUGUUGGGUUAAGUCCCGCAACGAGCGCAACCCUUGACCUUAGUUGCCAGCAUUCAGUUGGGCACUCUAAGGUGACUGCCGGUGACAAACCGGAGGAAGGUGGGGAUGACGUCAAAUCAUCAUGCCCCUUAUGACCUGGGCUACACACGUGCUACAAUGGAUGGUACAAAGGGCUGCAAGACCGCGAGGUUUAGCCAAUCCCAUAAAACCAUUCUCAGUUCGGAUUGUAGGCUGCAAC